rnacentral:tRNA from 1 species
GCCGGCGUAGCUCAGUGGUAGAGCUUCGGUUUUGUAAACCGUAGGUCGUGGGUUCGAGUCCCUCCGCCGGCU